AUGCCGCCCGCGCUCACCUCCAACCCCCCUUCCUUCCGGCCCUUAUCCUCACCUCUCCGCCGCCGCGCCCCGUCCUUCCUCUGCCGCGUCGGCGCCGGCAAGCCUGGGGCGGAUGAGGAGGCCAAGAAGAACCCCUUCUUUGUCGACUUCAGCAGCAAGUUUGAGGACGCCAAGUCACUGAUACCGGCCUUCCCAUCGCCGGGAACAGGGUCCCUGUUUGCCGGAGGGAGGGGAAAGAAGGACCUACAGACGGUGUUCGUGGCGGGCGCCACGGGGCAGACGGGUGUCCGCAUUGCACAGACACUGCUGCGGCAAGGCUUCGCCGUGCGCGCCGGGGUUCCGGACCUCGCGUCGGCACAGGAGUUGGCUCGGCUUGCCGUCGCGUACAGACUCAUAUCCCCCGCGGAGGCACGCCGGCUCAACGCGGUGGAGUCGGAUUUUGAUGACACUGAGGCGAUCGCCAAGUCCAUCGGCCCAGCGGCCAAGGUGGUGAUCACGGUCGGCCCGGUCGAGAAGGGAUUAGAGGGCGGGCCGGUCACUACCGAGGAUGCGCUCCGGGUAGUGCAGGCUGCGGACCUCGCCGGCGUGGCACAUGUUGUGGUGGUCUACGACGAGGGCGCCGGUGGCGUCAAUGGGGCUUCCACGAACAGUGUGCUUAAUGGGUUCACGUCUUUUUUCUCGAACCUCUUCUCCCGCGUGCAGACUCUGCCGCUAAGUGAUUUUUUGGCCAAGGUGGUAGAGACCGAUGUCAAUUACACGCUAGUCAAGGCGUCACUCACUGAAGACUACGACCCUGAGAGCUCGUAUGGGCUGGUCCUGGCCAAAGAGGGUUCGUCCAGCACUACGACUUCCUCCACUGACACUGGCAAGGUGUCCAAGUUGCAGAUUGCUUCCCUUGUGGCUGAUGUUUUCUCCAACAUUGAGAUCGCAGAGAACAAGGUUGUGGAAGUUUCAACUAGCUCCUUGGGAACAUCCAAGCCCACAGUGGAGGCACUAACAGCUAUUCCUGAGGACAUUAGAAGAAAAGAGUACCAAGAAGCUGCUGCAAAUGCGAGGGCACAGGAGGAAGCCCUGGCCUCCCAGCGAGCCGCUGAUGCAGAAGAACCCACCAGUAAGCUCAAAACGGAAGCGAAGGAUACGACCUCAGAAGAGGCAGGCGCAAGCACGGUGAACGAGGCGCAGGCCUCGCUGGAGAACCUUCUAACCAGAGCCAAGGGGCUCAAGCUUAACACUGACUUCUCCUGGGACAAGUUCAGCACACAGCUUGCAGCCGUAGGAGCGACCGCGCGGAGCUCGGACGAGGAGGAACCAAGGGCCCAGAUCGCCACGGUGAGAGGCCAGGCCAAGGCCAAGAAGCUGGCACCGCAGAGGGCCGUCGUGAAGCCGGUGGCACAGAAGGUGAAGCAGGCAACAAUGCAGCCGGCUCCCAAGAAGGAGGUGAGGCCCGUGUUUGGGGGCCUCUUCAAGCAAGAGACUAUCUUUGUGGACGAGGACUGA
rnacentral:rRNA from 1 species